UACGUAGGCAGCAAGCGUUGUUCGGAAUUACUGGGCGUAAAGAGGGUGUAGGCGGUGCUCUAAGUCUGUUGUGAAAUCUCCCGGCUUAACUGGGAGGGUGCGGCGGAGACUGGAGUGCUAGAGUGUGGGAGAGGUAAGCGGAAUUCCUGGUGUAGCGGUGAAAUGCGUAGAUAUCAGGAGGAACACCUGUGGUGUAGACAGCUUACUGGACCACGACUGACGCUGAGACACGAAAGCGUGGGUAGCAAACAGG
rnacentral:rRNA from 1 species